CCGGACGGUGGCCUAGGGGGUUGGGAACCGGGUCCCCGCAGAGCCACCUCUUAGUCGCUUGCAGCUUCCUGGGGUGUCCCUGCCGGGACUGCGUGUCCUGGGUGUUUGGACUCAACGUGCGGGCAGGAGGUGGCCAAGAGCUGGAACUCUCGCCUGUGAGCCCUGGGGAAGGGGGUGAAGGCCGGACUCGAAAGUCUGUCUUCCUUUGCUCCGCCCCAGUCCCGCGUCCCGAAAAGCAGCCCUGCGAGGUGGCCAAACCCGCUGGCCUGUGAGCGGCUGAGAAAAAUGCCCGAUUCUCCCUCUGCCCAGCGCGGGGUUGGAAGGACACUUCCCGUUGAGAACCAAGGAACCCUUCCCCAUUCUCCUGCCCGGGUUUGAGGACUCCGGCCAAGAGAGUGUGCAGAACUGGCAGGCGGGGUACCGGGGUUUUGAUCUGAGAAAAAGUGCACAAAAGGCUAAGCUACCACAAAUUCAAGAGGCUGGAAGAGACCUGCCUGAAUAAAAAGUGUCUCCUUUUCUUCUCAUUAAAAGAAAAAUCAUCUCUGAAA